rnacentral:rRNA from 1 species
AGCGAACGCUGGCGGCAGGCCUAACACAUGCAAGUCGAGCGCCCCGCAAGGGGAGCGGCAGACGGGAGAGUAACACGUGGGAACAUGCCCUUCAGUACGGAACAACCAAGGGAAACUUUGGCUAAUACCGUAUACGUCCGUAAGGAGAAAGAUUUAUCGCUGAAGGAUUGGCCCGCGUCUGAUUAGCUAGUUGGUGAGGUAAUGGCUCACCAAGGCGACGAUCAGUAGCUGGUCUGAGAGGAUGAUCAGCCUCACUGGGACUGAGACACGGCCCAGACUCCUACGGGAGGCAGCAGUGGGGAAUAUUGGACAAUGGGCGCAAGCCUGAUCCAGCCAUGCCGCGUGGAUGAUGAAGGCCCUAGGGUUGUAAAGUCCUUUCGGCGGGGAAGAUAAUGACGGUACCCGCAGAAGAAGCCCCGGCUAACUUCGUGCCAGCCGCCGCCGUAAUAC